GGGGCGGGCUAGAAGCCACGACAAAGCGACUAGCCAAGCUAACUUCCAGCCAUGGCACUGUCUCCGGCUACGACCUUCCACGACCACGAGAGCUCCAGCUCUGACUUUCCUGGCCCAUCACAAUCAUAACGACCUAACAGCCCAGUAGGACCGAUGGCCAAAGAUGGAGGAGGAGGAAGAUAGACGCAGCAGAGGUCGGUUUGAUUAGGGAGACUCCAACAGAAUUGACGCCCUGCUAACUGCCUUGAUUCAAUCAUUGAAUUUGAAGCAAUCCCAUCGGUUACUGCAGCGUGCCCUGACCCGUGACCCCAGUUUGAUGUUCGACCUGGCACAUGACA